rnacentral:lncRNA from 1 species
GCAACACUUGAAAUAAAGGGUCUUCCCUCAUAUAUGAUCAUCACUCAUUUUAGUUUUAUAAAUUUGUGAAUAUACAAACAUGUCUUUUAACUAAUUGUCUUGAAGGCAAGUGCGGGUAACUAGUUAGAAGAAAGAUUGUUAAUAAUCAUCAACCAUAAUGAUUAUUAGUAAUAUUAGAGUGAAUGAAAAGAUUUUUGUAAGAUUGUGUUUUUCUUUGAGUUUUUGUAUGAUUGUCUUGUGGUCAUCACUAGGGUGAGGACUACUUUUCUAUUUUGAUAUACCGUAUUUCAGGUCCUUGUAAUGCUUUGUUGGUGAAAUAGAUGAGUUUUUGACCUCUGUCGCUCUCUCUAAUCAAGGCUCAUUGAUUGCUUUUGCCGAAAUUGAUAGAUAUAUGAACAUUAUCUCUCCCUUUUUGGAUCAUUAGAGAAUUGGUAUUUGAGAUAGGGCAUGUUUAAGUCGGGCUAGAGUCGCUUCAAAUUCGCAUUCUUCAGACCAUUCAGAUGCAGAUUCCUUCCUCAACAACCUGUAGAAAGGAGGGGCAUAUUAGACGUCUUCCAACAUUUAGAUUGAUUUCUUUGGAGUAGGUAUCUCAAUGAAAGCUCUGCAUUUAUCCGAAUUUGCUUCAAUCCCUCUUUCGAUUAAGUAAAAUCCGAGGAACUUAUUCGUGUGGAUUCCAAACAUUACAUUUUUUUUUCCUGGUUGAGACACAUAUUAUAUUUUUUGAUUUGUUAGAAAUUUCCUUGAGAUGGAUGGUAUGAUCUACAUUUUCUUUAGGUUUACAAUAAUGUAUCCAUUUAGAUUUUAGGCAUAUUCUCAGUUUCGUAUUUAAAGACUUUCUUCAUCAUUUUUUUUGCCCCUCUAUUUUUGAAUCUAAAACGCAUUACGUUGUAUAAUCAAUGCACAUGUACCAUUCAUUAUUUGAUUUCUUAACGAGUACGAC